rnacentral:rRNA from 1 species
GGGUUGUGAGGUUAAGCGACUAAGCGUACACGGUGGAUGCCCUGGCAGUCAGAGGCGAUGAAGGACGUGCUAAUCUGCGAUAAGCGUCGGUAAGGUGAUAUGAACCGUUAUAACCGGCGAUUUCCGAAUGGGGAAACCCAGUGUGAUUCGUCACACUAUCAUUAACUGAAUUCAUAGGUUAAUGAGGCGAACCGGGGGAACUGAAACAUCUAAGUACCCCGAGGAAAAGAAAUCAACCGAGAUUCCCCCAGUAGCGGCGAGCGAACGGGGAGGAGCCCAGAGCCUGAAUCAGUGUGUGUGUUAGUGGAAGCGUCUGGAAAGGCGCGCGAUACAGGGUGACAGCCCCGUACACAAAAAUGCACAUGCUGUGAGCUCGAUGAGUAGGGCGGGACACGUGGUAUCCUGUCUGAAUAUGGGGGGACCAUCCUCCAAGGCUAAAUACUCCUGACUGACCGAUAGUGAACCAGUACCGUGAGGGAAAGGCGAAAAGAACCCCGGCGAGGGGAGUGAAAAAGAACCUGAAACCGUGUACGUACAAGCAGUGGGAGCCUCUUUAUGGGGUGACUGCGUACCUUUUGUAUAAUGGGUCAGCGACUUAUAUUCUGUAGCAAGGUUAACCGAAUAGGGGAGCCGAAGGGAAACCGAGUCUUAACUGGGCGUUAAGUUGCAGGGUAUAGACCCGAAACCCGGUGAUCUAGCCAUGGGCAGGUUGAAGGUUGGGUAACACUAACUGGAGGACCGAACCGACUAAUGUUGAAAAAUUAGCGGAUGACUUGUGGCUGGGGGUGAAAGGCCAAUCAAACCGGGAGAUAGCUGGUUCUCCCCGAAAGCUAUUUAGGUAGCGCCUCGUGAAUUCAUCUCCGGGGGUAGAGCACUGUUUCGGCAAGGGGGUCAUCCCGACUUACCAACCCGAUGCAAACUGCGAAUACCGGAGAAUGUUAUCACGGGAGACACACGGCGGGUGCUAACGUCCGUCGUGAAGAGGGAAACAACCCAGACCGCCAGCUAAGGUCCCAAAGUCAUGGUUAAGUGGGAAACGAUGUGGGAAGGCCCAGACAGCCAGGAUGUUGGCUUAGAAGCAGCCAUCAUUUAAAGAAAGCGUAAUAGCUCACUGGUCGAGUCGGCCUGCGCGGAAGAUGUAACGGGGCUAAACCAUGCACCGAAGCUGCGGCAGCGACGCUUAUGCGUUGUUGGGUAGGGGAGCGUUCUGUAAGCCUGCGAAGGUGUACUGUGAGGUAUGCUGGAGGUAUCAGAAGUGCGAAUGCUGACAUAAGUAACGAUAAAGCGGGUGAAAAGCCCGCUCGCCGGAAGACCAAGGGUUCCUGUCCAACGUUAAUCGGGGCAGGGUGAGUCGACCCCUAAGGCGAGGCCGAAAGGCGUAGUCGAUGGGAAACAGGUUAAUAUUCCUGUACUUGGUGUUACUGCGAAGGGGGGACGGAGAAGGCUAUGUUGGCCGGGCGACGGUUGUCCCGGUUUAAGCGUGUAGGCUGGUUUUCCAGGCAAAUCCGGAAAAUCAAGGCUGAGGCGUGAUGACGAGGCACUACGGUGCUGAAGCAACAAAUGCCCUGCUUCCAGGAAAAGCCUCUAAGCAUCAGGUAACAUCAAAUCGUACCCCAAACCGACACAGGUGGUCAGGUAGAGAAUACCAAGGCGCUUGAGAGAACUCGGGUGAAGGAACUAGGCAAAAUGGUGCCGUAACUUCGGGAGAAGGCACGCUGAUACGUAGGUGAAGUCCCUUGCGGAUGGAGCUGAAAUCAGUCGAAGAUACCAGCUGGCUGCAACUGUUUAUUAAAAACACAGCACUGUGCAAACACGAAAGUGGACGUAUACGGUGUGACGCCUGCCCGGUGCCGGAAGGUUAAUUGAUGGGGUUAGCGGUAACGCGAAGCUCUUGAUCGAAGCCCCGGUAAACGGCGGCCGUAACUAUAACGGUCCUAAGGUAGCGAAAUUCCUUGUCGGGUAAGUUCCGACCUGCACGAAUGGCGUAAUGAUGGCCAGGCUGUCUCCACCCGAGACUCAGUGAAAUUGAACUCGCUGUGAAGAUGCAGUGUACCCGCGGCAAGACGGAAAGACCCCGUGAACCUUUACUAUAGCUUGACACUGAACAUUGAGCCUUGAUGUGUAGGAUAGGUGGGAGGCUUUGAAGUGUGGACGCCAGUCUGCAUGGAGCCGACCUUGAAAUACCACCCUUUAAUGUUUGAUGUUCUAACGUUGGCCCCUAAUCGGGGUUGCGGACAGUGUCUGGUGGGUAGUUUGACUGGGGCGGUCUCCUCCUAAAGAGUAACGGAGGAGCACGAAGGUUGGCUAAUCCUGGUCGGACAUCAGGAGGUUAGUGCAAUGGCAUAAGCCAGCUUGACUGCGAGCGUGACGGCGCGAGCAGGUGCGAAAGCAGGUCAUAGUGAUCCGGUGGUUCUGAAUGGAAGGGCCAUCGCUCAACGGAUAAAAGGUACUCCGGGGAUAACAGGCUGAUACCGCCCAAGAGUUCAUAUCGACGGCGGUGUUUGGCACCUCGAUGUCGGCUCAUCACAUCCUGGGGCUGAAGUAGGUCCCAAGGGUAUGGCUGUUCGCCAUUUAAAGUGGUACGCGAGCUGGGUUUAGAACGUCGUGAGACAGUUCGGUCCCUAUCUGCCGUGGGCGCUGGAGAACUGAGGGGGGCUGCUCCUAGUACGAGAGGACCGGAGUGGACGCAUCACUGGUGUUCGGGUUGUCAUGCCAAUGGCACUGCCCGGUAGCUAAAUGCGGAAGAGAUAAGUGCUGAAAGCAUCUAAGCACGAAACUUGCCCCGAGAUGAGUUCUCCCUGACUCCUUGAGAGUCCUGAAGGAACGUUGAAGACGACGACGUUGAUAGGCCGGGUGUGUAAGCGCAGCGAUGCGUUGAGCUAACCGGUACUAAUGAACCGUGAGGCUUAACCUUACAACGCCGAAG